GUGUCCUUAUUGUAGAAUCAUUUCUUUUGGAUAAUAAAGAGAUUAGAGCCAAGAAGAAAAGAAGAACUCAUAACUCAAGUCCCAUUUUCGUAUUCCAUGGACAGCCUUCACUAAAAGUGCCAUAACUCUCUGCUCACAACUCCGAUUCAGAAAAACGAGUUUGAAGUUGGAAGCUCCAUGCUGAUUGUGUGUUAAAUAGUGGAUACGGGUUUGAUGAGUUUGGGGUUGAAGUUUUGGUCAAGUUAGGAGCUCCAUUGCAGCAUGAUCAUCAUACAAAGCUCCAUUAAAUCCAAGGUGCAGUUUAGUAGCGUUUGAUCAGUAGCAGGUUUCGACUGAAGACUUGGAAGUGAUGUUGGCUCGAAGACCUCGUUGGUUUUGACAUUCCGCUGUGCAAGAUCCAUUGAAGACUCAUGUAUU